CCUACGGGAGGCAGCAGUGAGGAAUAUUGGUCAAUGGGCGGGAGCCUGAACCAGCGAAGUCGCGUGAGGGAUGACGGUCCUACGGAUUGUAAACCUCUUUUGCCGGGGAGCAAGCGUGCGUUCGUGAACGCGCGACGAGAGUACCCGGAGAAUAAGCAUGGGCUAACUCCGUGCCAGCAGCCGCGGUAAUACGGAGGUUGCGAGCGUUAUUCGGAUUUAUUGGGUUUAAAGGGUGCGUAGGCGGGAUGCCAAGUCAGCGGUAAAAUUGCGGUGCUCAACGCCGUCGAGCCGUUGAAACUGGCGUUCUUGAGUGAGCGAGAGGUAUGCGGAAUGCGUGGUGUAGCGGUGAAAUGCAUAGAUAUCACGCAGAACUCCGAUUGCGAAGGCAGCAUACCGGCGCUCAACUGACGCUCAUGCACGAAAGCGUGGGUAUCGAACAGGAUUAGAUACCCGAGUAGUC
rnacentral:rRNA from 1 species